rnacentral:rRNA from 1 species
UACGGGGGGAGCAAGCGUUGUUCGGAAUUACUGGGCGUAAAGGGCUCGUAGGCGGCCAACUAAGUCAGACGUGAAAUCCCUCGGCUUAACCGGGGAACUGCAUCUGAUACUGGAUGGCUUGAGUUCGGGAGAGGGAUGCGGAAUUCCAGGUGUAGCGGUGAAAUGCGUAGAUAUCUGGAGGAACACCGGUGGCGAAGGCGGCAUCCUGGACCGACACUGACGCUGAUGCGCGAAAGCUAGGGUAGCAAACGGG